GACGAACGCUGGCGGCGCGCUUAACACAUGCAAGUCGAGCGAGAACCAGGGCUUCGGCCCUGGGGACAGCGGCGAACGGGUGAGUAACACGUGGGUAACCUGCCCUCGGCACCGGGAUAGCCCGGGGAAACUCGGAUUAAUACCGGAUUGCCCCUCCGGCCUUCGGGCCGGCCGGGAAAGGUAGCUUCGGCCUCCGGCCGAGGAUGGGCCCGCGGCGGAUUAGCUUGUUGGUGGGGUAACGGCCCACCAAGGCGACGAUCCGUAGCUGGUCUGAGGGGAAGAUCAGCCACACUGGGACUGAGACACGGCCCAGACUCCUACGGGAGGCAGCAGUGGGGAAUCUUGCGCAAUGGGCGAAAGCCUGACGCAGCGACGCCGCGUGAGGGAAGAAGGCCUUCGGGUUGUAAACCUCUUUCAGGAGGGACGAAGCCACUCGGGUGAACAGCCCAGAGGGUGACGGUACCUCCAGAAGAAGCCCCGGCUAACUACGUGCCAGCAGCCGCCGUAACAC
rnacentral:rRNA from 1 species